rnacentral:rRNA from 1 species
UACGUAGGGGGCAAGCGUUGUCCGGAUUUACUGGGCGUAAAAGAGCGUGUAGGCGGCCCACGCAGGUCCGUUUGUGAAAACUGGAGGCUCAACCUCCCAGCUGUCGACGGAAACCGUGUGGCUAGAGUCCGGAAGAGGAGAGUGGAAUUCCUGGUGUAGCGGUGAAAAUGCGCAGAUAUCAGGAAGAACACCAAUGCGAAGGCAGCUCUCUGGGACGGUACUGACGCUGAGACGCGAAAAGCGUGGGGGAGCGAACAGG